rnacentral:rRNA from 1 species
UGGGGAAUAUUGCACAAUGGGGGAAACCCUGAUGCAGCGACGCCGCGUGAGCGAAGAAGGUUUUCGAAUCGUAAAGCUCUGUCCUAUGAGAAGAUAAUGACGGUAUCAUAGGAGGAAGCCCCGGCUAAAUACGUGCCAGCAGCCGCGGUAAUACGUAUGGGGCGAGCGUUGUCCGGAAUUAUUGGGCGUAAAGGGUUCGCAGGCGGAAAUGCAAGUCAGUUGUGAAAGGCAGAGGCUCAACCUCUGUAAGCAAUUGAAACUGUAUUUCUUGAGAUGUGGAGAGGCAAGUGGAAUUCCUAGUGUAGCGGUGAAAUGCGUAGAUAUUAGGAAGAAUACCGGUGGCGAAGGCGACUUGCUGGACACAAACUGACGCUGAGGAACGAAAGCGUGGGUAGCAAACAGG